CCCCUCCCUGAGCCUGAAUGCUGAGUGGGACCAGCCCAGCCUAUAGGCAGUAUAGGCAAUUGCUAAGGGCAGUGCCCAUCCGGGGGGUGGAAGGCACAAAUGAGGGG